UUUGGUGCCCAGGCCGUCGUCCUCACAGCGAAGCAACAGGGAACAUAUUCAGAGUACCACGGGACGAUUUGGUAACCAUGACGGCGACGAGAGACUGGGACAAAGGACCUGCGCAUCCUUACUAUAACCAGUGGAACGGAUCCCAUCAUAUCCUGCAAACAGACACCUUUAAUUCUAGCCCUAGUUUUUAAACACAAGGCGCGUGAAAGCAGACACUGGGCUAAGACGCUGGACACGAUAAAGUCUACGGAGGCCAAUCGCCUUCUCAAGAACAAGGCAGGAAAUCAGAUAAACAGAGGUUUGUCUCCUUGGCUGAGAUCGUGAGUCGCUGGCCAUGAUCUUAAGGAAGUCUUGAUGUCUUUCGCAUCUUCGUGGUCAUCCCGCGGAGGACUUGACACAAGGCAACGAUGAAAAGCGAGGGAUGAGGCUGAAUAGAGUGUAAAUAUUGCGUAAUAAAGUUUAUACAUCAGU